rnacentral:rRNA from 1 species
UGGGGAAUUUUGGACAAUGGGCGAAAGCCUGAUCCAGCAAUGCCGCGUGUGUGAAGAAGGCCUUCGGGUUGUAAAGCACUUUUGUCCGGAAAGAAAUCCUUGGCUCUAAUACAGUCGGGGGAUGACGGUACCGGAAGAAUAAGCACCGGCUAACUACGUGCCAGCAGCCGCGGUAAUACGUAGGGUGCAAGCGUUAAUCGGAAUUACUGGGCGUAAAGCGUGCGCAGGCGGUUUGCUAAGACCGAUGUGAAAUCCCCGGGCUCAACCUGGGAACUGCAUUGGUGACUGGCAGGCUAGAGUAUGGCAGAGGGGGGUAGAAUUCCACGUGUAGCAGUGAAAUGCGUAGAGAUGUGGAGGAAUACCGAUGGCGAAGGCAGCCCCCUGGGCCAAUACUGACGCUCAUGCACGAAAGCGUGGGGAGCAAACAGGAUUAGAUACCCUGGUAGUCCACGCCCUAAACGAUGUCAACUAGUUGUUGGGGAUUCAUUUCCUUAGUAACGUAGCUAACGCGUGAAGUUGACCGCCUGGGGAGUACGGUCGCAAGAUUAAACUUAAUG